GACAGAGGCCCCAAGCGUUAGGCGGAAUCACUGGGCUUAAAGCGUGUGUAGGCGGAUCGUUAAGUGUCUUGUGAAAUCCCACGGCUCACCCGUGGAACUGCUGGGCAUACUGGCGAUCUUGGGCCAACUAGGGGCAGCCGGAACAAGCGGUGGAGCGGUGAAAUGCGUAGAUAUCGCUUGGAACGCCAACGGUGAAAACAGACGACUGGGAGUGUGCUGACGCUGAGACACGAAAGCCAGGGGAGCGAACGGG
rnacentral:rRNA from 1 species